rnacentral:rRNA from 1 species
CCCUUAGAUGUUCUGGGCCGCACACGCGCUACACUGAAGGAGGCAGCGUGUACUCCUGGAUCGAAAGAUUUGGGUAACCCGCGAAUCUCCUUCGUGCUAGGGAUUGAGGUUUGCAAUUAUCCUUCAUGAACGAGGAAUUCCCAGUAAGUGCAAGUCAUAAGCUUGCGCUGACUACGUCCCUGCCCUUUGUACACACCGCCCGUCGCUACUACCGAUUGAAUGAUUUAGUGAGGACUUCGGACUGAGUCCAAUGCGGCUUUCGGGCUGCGUUGGUAUUUCGGAAAGAUGUCCAAACUGUAUCAUUUAGAGGAAGUAAAAGUCGUAACA